AGAGUUUGAUCCUGGCUCAGAACGAACGCUGGCGGCAGGCUUAACACAUGCAAGUCGAACGGUUAUAGCAAUAUAGCAGUGGCGCACGGGUGAGUAACGCGUGGGAACGUGCCUUUUGGUUAGGAAUAACGUCGGGAAACUGACGCUAAUACCUGAUACGCCCUCCGGGGGAAAGAUUUAUCGCCAAAAGAUCGGCCCGCGUUAGAUUAGGUAGUUGGUGGGGUAAUGGCCUACCAAGCCUACGAUCUAUAGCUGGUCUGAGAGGAUGACCAGCCACACUGGAACUGAGACACGGUCCAGACUCCUACGGGAGGCAGCAGUGGGGAAUAUUGGACAAUGGGGGAAACCCUGAUCCAGCCAUGCCGCGUGAGUGAUGAAGGCCUUAGGGUUGUAAAGCUCUUUUGUCAGGGAAGAUGAUGACGGUACCUGAAGAAUAAGCACCGGCUAACUUCGUGCCAGCCGCCGCGGUAAUUC
rnacentral:rRNA from 1 species